GCCCGGGGCUUCGUCUUGACUGGGGGCGUGAGUCUCUUUAGACUCAUGCACCCCUAAAUUUGGCAGGGCGCUUGCUCUGCCAUUUUGCUUUAGGGCAAUAGCGUCGAAAGACAACAGUGGAGCUUAUAGA
rnacentral:sRNA from 1 species